GGGGUUGUGGCUCAGCGGUAGAGCACUCGCCUAGAAUGUGGGAGGCCUUGGGUUCAAUCCUCAGCACCA
rnacentral:tRNA from 1 species